rnacentral:rRNA from 1 species
AGCUCCUAAAACGUAUAUUAAAGUUGUUGCGGUUAAAAAGCUCGUAGUUGGAUUUCUGUUGAGAUCGGUCGGUCCCCACUCUGUGGGCGUAUCUGAUAUGGUCUUGGCAUCCUCAUAGGGAACCGGAGGCACUUCACUGUGUGGCCGGGAAUCUAUGACUUUUACUUUGAGGAAAUUAGAGUGUUCAAAGCAGGCGACCGCCUUGAAUACGUUAGCAUGGAAUAAUAAUAUAGGACUUUGGCCCUAUUUUGUUGGUUUCUAGGACUAAAGUAAUGAUUAACAGGGAUAUUUGGGGGCAUUUGUAUUAACCGGUCAGAGGUGGAAUUCUUGGAUUCGGUUACGACAAACUAAUGCGAAAGCAUUUGCCAAGGAUGUUUUCA